CAGCAGCCGCGGGAAUACGAAGGGGGCUAGCGUUGCUCGGAAUUACUGGGCGUAAAGGGCGCGUAGGCGGCGCUCCAAGUUAGGCGUGAAAUUCCCGGGCUCAACCUGGGGACUGCGCUUAAGACUGGAGUGCUUGAGGAUGGAAGAGGGUUGUGGAAUUCCCAGUGUAGAGGUGAAAUUCGUAGAUAUUGGGAAGAACACCGGUGGCGAAGGCGGCAACCUGGUCCAUUACUGACGCUGAGGCGCGAUAGCGUGGGGAGCAAACAGGAUUAGAUACCCCAGUAGUCCCUGUCUCUUAUAC
rnacentral:rRNA from 1 species